GUAGCACCACCAGGGAAAGGUGUCCUUAAAUAGAAUCCCAUAUAUAAGCUAUAAGCAUAAAUCAAUCACGUAUGUGUAGCACAUAAUAUUUUUAGGAAAUCAGAAUCACCUCAAUAACCAAGAAGCUGAUGCUAGAUGCAUCUUCACUCCAGAUACCAAACAACCAUCUUACAGAACACAUUGAGCUCUUCCAUUCCGCCGCCGUUGUAGCCAUCCAUGGUGAAGCGCCGACUUGUUGGAUUUGAAGAUUAAUUCAUGCUAUUCUCCACCCCAUCCAUAUGAAUCGUAAGCCACUACCACCAUCAUUAUGAGCGUAGAACACAUCUGAAGUAUCAACCUCUCCUUCCCAGUUCCUCAUCGUGCUUAUCCUCGUGUGAAUCAUGAUGACAACCCAGUCAUCACAAUCUGAAAUAAUCGUAAAACAAAAUGAUAAAUGCUA
rnacentral:lncRNA from 1 species